CUCUUUUAACCAGGUACUAUGCUAGGUGCUGGUGAUGGAUUCAAAGAUGAAAGAGAUAUAAGAUGUAAAGCCUGAUGUAUUUUCACAAGGAACAUUUACUUGUACAAGAAAGAGCCAAGUGUGCUAAGCAUAGUGGUCUUCCUUGGCUGAAAGGAUAAUAUGGACAAAAGCCUCUCUAUGUAAGUUCACUGUGGCCCGAAAAUGUUAAGAGUCUUCCCAAGGAGCCUGAUUUGCAACAGGAGUGCCAAGUAGCCCCAAGAAGCUACUGAAUCUCAAGGCAGCACUUCCUUCUUUCCAGCGCAGUAUUUUGUAUUGUGGACCAUCUCUCAGGUUUUGUCCAUAGUGAGUGGGAAUUCU
rnacentral:lncRNA from 1 species